CCGGGGAGGCCUCAGUGUCUCCUCUCCUUCGGGAGAACGGAAGGACGCCUGCGGCCUACUUUAUCCACAGAUGCUGUUACCCUAAUUUAUGGACAAGGAAACUGAAGCUCUGGGUGAUGGGGCAGCUUGCUGAGUUAAGUCAGCUUCCUCUCAGGAGCUAUACAUCAGAAGAAAGGCUUCAAAAUCUUGUUGGAUAAAGGAGGCCUUUAUGGAGCAAAGCAACUCCGAAAGUGUUUUGCAUAACAACAUGCCCACGGAUUUUAAC